rnacentral:rRNA from 2 species
AAACUGGACGUUUACUUUGAAAAAAUUAGAGUGCUCCAGGCAGGCCUAUGCUCGAAUAGAUUAGCAUGGAAUAAUGAAAUAGGACGGAUGAUCCUAUUUCGUUGGUUUCUAGGAUCACCGUAAUGAUUAAUAGGGACAGUUGGGGGCAUUAGUAUUCAAUUGUCAGAGGUGAAAUUCUUGGAUUUAUUGAAGACUAACUAUUGCGAAAGCAUUUGCCAAGGAUGUUUUCAUUAAUCAAGAACGAAAGUUAGGGGAUCGAAGACGAUCAGAUACCGUCGUAGUCUUAACCAUAAACUAUGCCGACUAGGGAUCGGACGAAGUUAAUUUUAUAAUGACGCGUUCGGCGCCUUACGGGAAAC